AAGACUAUACUUUCAGGGAUCAUUUCUAAAGUUUCUGACUUGAGAAAUGUGUUUCUAAAGUGUUUGGUCUCACUGACCACGAUGAUGAGUCGUGAUAUUCUCUACUGAGCGUGAAGCUGAUAGAGAAUAGUGAUUCACUUCAUAAGUUCUCUAUCAUUGAUGAUUGUUCAUUACUUCCUUCCACAGUCUUGAACUACUGCACCAUUUGUGUUUGAGUGAA